ACGGAAGGCAGCAGUGGGGAAUAUUGCACAAUGGGGGGAACCCUGAUGCAGCGAUGCCGCGUGGAGGAAGAAGGUUUUCGGAUUGUAAACUCCUGUCUUAAAGGACGAUAAUGACGGUACUUUAGGAGGAAGCUCCGGCUAACUACGUGCCAGCAGCCGCGGUAAUACGUAGGGAGCGAGCGUUGUCCGGAAUUACUGGGUGUAAAGGGAGCGUAGGCGGGAUUGCAAGUCAGAUGUGAAAACUAUGGGCUUAACCCAUAGACUGCAUUUGAAACUGUAGUUCUUGAGUGAAGUAGAGGUAAGCGGAAUUCCUGGUGUAGCGGUGAAAUGCGUAGAUAUCAGGAGGAACACCGGUGGCGAAGGCGGCUUACUGGACGGUAACUGACAUUGAGGCUCGAAAGCGUGGGGAGCAAACAGGAUUAGAUACCCUGGUA
rnacentral:rRNA from 1 species